rnacentral:rRNA from 1 species
UCAAGAAACUUCCACAAUGGGCGAAAGCCUGAUGGAGCGACGUCGCGUGAUGGACGAAGUGCUUCGGCACGUAAACAUCUUUUAUGUGGGAUGAAAUUAUUGACAGUACCACAUGAAUAAGGGGCUCCUAACUCUGUGCCAGCAGGAGCGGUAAUACAGAGGCCCCAAGCGUUAUCCGGAAUCACUGGGCGUAAAGGGUGUCGAGGCGGUUGUAUUAGUCGUUCGUAAAAUCUACGAGCUUAACUUGUAGGCGGCGAACGAAACGGUACGACUUGAGGUUUGGAGAGGUGCGUGGAACUCACGGUGUAGGGGUGAAAUCCGUUGAUAUCGUGGGGAACACCAAAGGCGAAGGCAGCGCACUGGCCAAAAUCUGACGCUGAGGCUCGAAAGCGUGGGGAGCGAACAGGAUUAGAUACCCAUGUAGUCCCUGAGCGGGCUGGCAAGGCGCAU